UUCUCUCUCCCUCUCUCUCAUGCUGCGGUCAGUACUCCAAUUAUUACCGAAAUUUCCCUCUCCAGUAUGCUAAGCUAUAAUUUCCAGUAGUAUUCUGCAUAUGACCAAAAUGGUUUUUUGAGGACAGUGCAACAUGAUGUCUGCACUUUUAAUAUGAGUGAGAUGGGUUUUUGAGGAUAGUUUUGGUUUUGGAUUAAGUAUCAAUGAGAUUUCCGAAUCCGGGUCCAAGAUGCUUGCUUAGUUGCUUUAGAAGAAGAGUCUCUGCUCUGUUCUGGUCCUACACAUGGGGGUAUUAGGAGGAUUCAAAGUUUUGAUGCUUCUUGUUCUGGUGGAAUCUCAUGAGCUAGACGGAUUUAGGUUACGCUUAAUCCUUGAAAAUUUUCUUUCCUGGUUGAGGUGCGGCAAUGAAAACAUCGACCUUUUAGUAAAAAAGUUGCACAUUGAUUCUUGUGCAUGCUGAGGAUUCAUGCUACGAAAAUAGACUAUAGGGGAAUCCAUAAGGAGAUAGUAUGCAUCUUGCUCUAAUCGGUCGAUCUAAAUUAGGGUGUCACUGUUUUUCUUUGUAUAACAAAAUAAACACAUAUCGACCUGACUACUUGUUGUUGCCAUUGUUGAUCUUCAUAAGUAAUGACAUAACAUGGAGAGCUUCCAUGAGUAAUAACAUAACAUUAUUUUGGGCUUCCCAUGUUGAGUGAGUUUUAAAGUUUUCCCUGUUUUCAUCGACAGCCAUCCAGUUUACGCUGAACAAAUUAGUAACUCUUUUUAGCCAAAAAUUUCAGUUAUGCAAUACACCAUAACCUUUACUAUUUGAUUUGUUCCUAAGUUAGGUAAAUCAGUGUUGUUGUAUACCCCAUGCAGUUUGUACAUUCUUUUGUUGUUCAAAUAGUUGUGUGAAGAAGAUGGGUGUACUUGUGUAUUAUUAUUUUUAGCUCAAUUUCUUGCUUCUUGUGACUUCUAUUGCCUGAGUGAUUUCUCACAUGGUUUCUCUAUUCAUUUGCAACAUGGUUCAAAGGCUGUUCUGAGCAUGUCAAGGCUGAAGUGUGCACUUCUGAGGUUUGUUUUAUGGGCCCUUUUGUUCCUGCUGAUUGGUGUGCCGAUUAUAAUCAUAUAUGUACAUGGCCAGAAGGUACUUAGAGAAGAGUGUGCAUCAAUAUGAAGUGUUGUCCUACUCUUCUAACUAAGGAUCAGGUACAAGAAGCAGCAAAGUACAUUAAAGGCCGAGAAGUACAGUAGUAGUUACAUUACCAAUACGAAUUUAUCUUUGACUUGAAACUCUGAAUCUUUUCUAAAGAUGAAUCGAUGGUAUUGCAAUUUAUCUCUGCCUUUUUCCAAUGGAUGCAUGUCCAUCCCCUGUUUCUCAAUUGUGUGUUUUCUUACUUAGUCAAGAAACAUCUUAAUUUGAUGGCAGGCAUGCUGAAGAAUAUUUGAAUAUAUAAAUGCUUCCUUCUUUUGAAUAACCCGGUUCCCUUUUCCUAGAUCAAGAAACAUCUUAAUUUCUCAGCCUCCAUGGACACGGCCGAGAUCCUUGACCAUUGCUCAUCGGGACAUGUGCCAUAUAGCAAUAAAAAACAGCGUUUAGCUAUUCAGUUGGCCCGGGAUCUGAGCGCAUCUGUUGCAUUCGUUGUUCGUCGUCCAGUUGGCCGUAGCCAUCCACAAGAAGAGCCGCACAUACAAGGUUCUGAGCUUCUAAUAAAGAAGACCCACAAGUUUCAGAAAUAAGGUAGGAAAAAUCAAAGGUAAAACAUGCAGGCACAUGCCUUCGGCAAUCGGCCUUUUAAAGAGGUGUUCAUGAGUGUAUAGCUGCACACAAGGAUUUGUGCCAUGUGGCACUAUCCAUUUACCAUUGAGUCCCUUUCUCCGUUUGGCAGGCAACCAGCCGAGCCUAUUCUCGGUGGUAUAAAUCAAAUACUUUCUUGACACUAUAAUUAGACCAGUCAUCCACAGGACCAGUGAAGAAAGAAAAGUUAUUUCUUCUUUUCCAGACCAUUGGGAAGCUGUCUAGGUAUUCAGACUUAGCAGAUAAAAGGAACACUCUAUAUGCAAACGGUGUUCCACACUGUUUUACAAUCACAUCUAAUGACAGUUCCAAGCGACCAAAGAAUCACAAUAUCUACGAAAAUUCUUCCUCUCUAUCUCGAGAAGAUCCAGUUGUAGAACCAAUAUUGAGCCCCUAUUGUGCACUUGAUUAUGUGCCAUUUUCUGCAGGCGCUUUGAUACACAGCCAAUUAAAAUGUUCAGGCGAUUGAUGACAGCACAGUACCUUAAAGGCCGGUAAAAGAAGUUUCUAAGAAGCGUGAACACUGUGAGAAGUAAGCUAGCCAAGGCAAUAUUUAGAAGCUUUGUUUGCUGAAUUUUGUCUUCCUAUCCAUGCUAACCAUUGCAAUCCAUAACUCCUAUUACCUGAAAACCGCUUUUCUGUUUUACCAAGGUCUAAAUAUGCGCUAAUAUGUUGGCAUACCGUUUCGGGCUUGGCCAUCUGUUUUACUACACUAUUUGUUUAAUAAGCAUCUCUAGCGGUAAAUAGAAAACUAAUGAUCUGAUCAACAUUCUAUUGAAGGAGUAGAUCAUCGAUGCCUGCAGCUGCGGGGCUCAUGGAGCCAGAAGAGGCUGUCACCGUCGGCGACCUUGCCGUCUUUCUCCUGUCCAGAGAGUCACUUGGUUGUGUGAUGUGUUUGUGCUCGUUGGCGGGGCGGUGCAAGGCGCAACUCCGACGCGGUUCCUCGACGGUUGGAUGGCGUUCAGGCGCAACCCUGGUGCCCACUGAGUGCUACAUGGCUGCGCCUGCGCCUCCGGUUGGUCCUCCCCGAGACUGGUUCUUGCCAGAUCUGCUGUUGUGCUCAUUGAUUUGCAGCCUCGUCCACUCCUGUCUGUGCAUAUUUUGAUCCGAGCUGGUUGCAUCUUCGUUCAUGGAUCUUUGGGUCAUCUGCAGGUUCAUAUUUCUGUGCUACAUCACCUCAUCCUCUCAUUGGCCGCUUCGGUGCCCGUGGCGUUCGUGCUCAUCGGUGGGACGGUGCAAGGCACAACUUCGAUGCAGCGGCGUGGAUGUGUGGUGUAGGAAGUGGUUCCUCGCUGGCUGGACGGCGUUCAGGCGCAACCCCGACGCCCACUAAGUACUGCCUUGGCUACAACAUCCCUCGGUGAGCUCCAUCUUCCUCCUGCUCUGCUUCAGCUACUGCAUGGGACAUGGCUAGGGCUAUGAUGAUCAGUUAUGGCUGAUAUAGGCAUACUCUCGAGCAAUCGAGGCAAUUGUUGUGGGUAUUAAUUUGGAUCCCCCUCAUUUCUUUGAGCUAUUUUGAUCACGUUCUUAUUUUAGUGGCUCUGUCCUUGGAUGGUCAUUUCUGAUGAGUGAUAACCAGGGCAGUUUCACCCUCAUAAGAACAUUUCGAUCUGGUGAUCCAUCAAAGAAUCCAGAAAUAAGAAUAGAAGCUCCUCAGGCCGCACCACAGCGAUUUGGGAUUCCUGGCCGUCGGAUCGGGUGGUUUGAUCAAAUCUGGGCCGUCGGAUCGACCCCUGUAACGACCUCGUCCGUCGGAUAAAAAAAAGUUACUGCUAGAAUGAAUAGUUACUCCCGCGGUGAGAUAUCUCGUGCCACCGCGUUUGAAUCACGUGCCCCAUCCGUCGGAAGCCAUUCUUGCUAGGGCGAUGAUGAUUAGUCGUGGCUGAAAUAAGUGUGCCUUUGAGCAAUUGAGGCACCUGUGGGUAUCAAGUUGGAUCCUCCCUCUUGUCUCUAGAAUCCUUUUUGAUCCUGUGAUACUUAUUGUUCUGUCCUUGGAUGGUCGUUCUUGUUGAAUGAUAACCAGGACAGCUCCACUGGAUAAACAGAUUGAUCUGUGAAAGAGAUUAUGGGGGUAGAUUAUAUGAUCGAGGAAAGGAGAAUCUGAGUCCACUAUGCAUUGAACCCUGAACCCUUUUUAUUUGUAUUUAAAGGUGUCGCUUAUUUAUGCUCCAGUGUUUAUAGCCGUCUUAUGUAAAGAUUUCUUCUCUCUCCUACCUUUGAUCUUUUAUUGUUUGUUGUUGGUCCUUGAUCUAAUCUGGUUAAGAGUAAGUUUCACUUUGUUAUUCUGGGAUAAGCGAUGGUUCGGCUAUGCUAUUGGUUCUUCAUGAGGAGUUCAAUGGAGGAUUUCUGAUAUUAUUUUAUUGUUAACUAGUCAUGCGAGUAAGCUUUCUUGCAGGUACCCACACUUCUCUCUCCCAGUAUAAAUAUUGAGCAUACAAUUUCAAUUUCAGCUUAGGCACACAACCUGCUCUUUUUUCUUAAGUAAGAUAUAGAUGAGGGUGAUCAUUUAUUGUCUGUUUGAUAUUUGCAUGUAGUUAUUAUUUCAUAAAGACUUAUGUUUAACCUUCUGUUAUAUCUGGACAUCUUGGUUCUAAAUUUCAUUCCAGAGAUAUGCUAAAAUAUAACUAGGGCAGUGCACACAUAAGAUUUAUUUGCUUUUCUUCCAUGUUGGAGAGUGGCAAUACCUUGCUGAUUAAAGUACAUUAUUUCCUAUUAGACAAGUGUUUAUAUUCUCUAGCUGGUUAAUGUUUUCUUUCUUGGCUGUAGUGUAUUUGGCAUUUGAGGUGAUCACAAAUAGGAGUUGGGGCAGAAAAAUGUCAUUUUAUUUCCUCUCAUGUGACUAGCCAGUUUUGCCUUCACGCCCAGAGUCUUGCAAGUUGUACCCGUGUCGAGAUUUGCUAUGGUGUCUUAUGUCUUUGUUUCAUGUUUAUUUCAGGUUUUGCUUUGAGGCCUCAAGUCCAGCGUAUCCUUGGUUUUAUAUUGAAUAAAUGCCCGCAGUCUGCACUCAUUUCUGUAACAUAGAAGUUUAUCCUACUCCUCUUCAUCUUAUUCUUUGUAGUGAACUUGAUACGUAUGUUUAGUGUUUAUGCCAAUACCUACGGUUCUGAAGUGUAUUUGAGAUGUAUUUUCCUUCUAGAAAGGCCACACUAUUCCUUCCAAGUAUAUUCAUAGUAAAUAUGAAUGCAUGUGUUUCCUGUAUGUAAUAGUGCGACACACGCAUUCUCAUUUACAAAUUGAAUCAUGCUACUCUGACAUCAGAGAGCUGUAGGUUUAGUUUUUAGUUAAAGCAGUAUCUACUAAGUAUUGUAUGUGCAACACCACAUUUUGAAUCACAUUUGUGGUAAAUUUAGCAAUGCUUGUGCCUACCCUUUUAGUAGCCAAUAUGGUUCAGAUGCAGUGUUUUUUAUUUCCUUUUUUUUGCUUUCAGCACACACAUAUGGCAUUGAAGUUCUUUAUAAUGUAUGUAGGCAUAGUAGUUGUGUCACUUACUGAUGCUCUUAUGGUACACAGAACACUAUUAAGGUGUUGGGCCCAGAAACAGGAAGAGUAAUCCUCUUCCAAGGUUAAUUUUAUGUCUACUUCUUUAUGUACAUAACUCAUGAUUUGACAAAUAGUUAAGUUCCCUAUAUUUUAGUAUUUGUACUUCUAUCCUUUUCUACAAAAUUAGAAGAGAAAAUAAUGUUGACAAAUGAUUAUGAUUGCUUGUUUAUUUUCUUGGUGUUGGAUUACUAAUGUGGAGAACUAUAAUUUUUAUAGAUGGUCGCUCGAUGCGCUGAGCAUCAUGUAAGGUCAUUAGAAUUCAUAUAUGAAUCAACAUAUUCUUCUGCUGCUAAUUAGCAUGUUUGGUCUAUUUAAUUUCAAACAUAUGUAUUAUUCACCAAGGCGCCUGCCUACUUUCAUAAUGAAGUUAUAACAUUAGGCGUUAGGUCAUUACACGUCGUAGAUGGAUCAACAUGUUCUUCCUCUUGUAAUUAGCAUGUUUGGUCUAUUUAUUUCAAACAUAUCUAUUAUUCGCCAAGGCUCCUUCCUACUUCCAUAAUGAUGUUAUCCCAUAGUUAAAUUGGUGUCUAAAAUGAGCCCCCUCUUAACUCCGUUUCUCUGCAGUAAAUGAAGCCUAGAGGUGGAGGGAUUUGGAUGAUCUGUAGUCAAAGGAUACCAUCAAGCAAGAGGACGCACAAGGAGGCUCGCCCCGGAGUACAGUGUGUUCAAGUUGAUCUGGAACAAUUUGAAGGGUUUCCUUGACACAAAAUCUCCAGCCAAGGUUUACUUAAGCACCUCAAAUUAUGUAUAGAAGUUUAAAAUUGUAAUUGUUUCAGGUUCUUCGCCACAUUCUGUAUGCUUUGUUAAUUUUUUUAAUAAUUGGACCUAUUUGCUAUGUGGAACAUGUAGCAUUUACUUGAUCAUAAUCUAAUUCAAUUUUUGACCACCGUCUUUUGGCUCUUGCUUUCAACAAUAUGCAGUAUCGGUUAGUCAUUUUCUUGACACAACACUUUUAGGCAACGGCUCAGACUUCUUGAGCCAUUCUCUAUUUAUUUUCGAUUCAUUUUUCAAAAUAAACAACCAAUGUUUCCUCCAUAUAUGCAUGACUCAAUGACACAAUGAAUUUUUUCCAGUCAACUGAUCAUCCUAAGCCUCAUCCUGUAUUCAAUACAUUUAUGUUCCAUUGCUAACCAAUGUUCAUUUGUGAUGUCUUUUCUUAGGAUGGAAAUGUUCCUCGGCACCAUGACGAACAUCAACGGAGGAACAACCUUUUUAUUUUAUUUUCUGUUGCCUCUACUGUAUUGUUGCUGCCACAAAGAUUUACCUGGACACGGAGCCAUCAUGAUGUGUUUAAAAAUGAUUACAUUAUCCUUUUCUAACCUGUUGGUGUUAGAGACAUCUUAGCAUUCAAGCAGGUUUAGUUCAUUGUUCUUUAAUUCCUAUUAUGUAAAAAAAUCACUGAUCAUCGCUUGACAGAAAAUAUUUUGAUAUGCGAUCAUGUGCAUGGGCGAAGAACCUGGAUGUUAUUUACAGGUUUUGGAUCAUGUAUGAUUGUUUUGAAUGAAAAAAUAUCAGAUAAAAGAAAGCAUGUAAUCUUACUAAUCCAGCAAAGCCUUGAAACCUCGAUGCUUCUAAAUUUGUGUGAGCUAAAUGAUAAUUUUUGCAACACCCAAAACUGUAUGUUGCCUUAUAGUUUCAUUACAAUGUUGAACUUAACGGUGAUUUGCUCCAAUUACAUGUGAAUGUUUCUUCUUCCUCAUAUUUUGUUAUAUCCUAUUUGAAUAC